rnacentral:rRNA from 1 species
AAUGAACGCUGGCGGCGCGCCUAAUACAUGCAAGUCGAGCGAGAAGACGUAGCAAUAACGUUUGUAAAGCGGCGAACGGGUGAGGAAUACAUGGGUAACCUACCCUCGAGUGGGGAAUAACUAGCCGAAAGGUUAGCUAAUACCGCGUACGCUCCUUGGACUUCGGUUCAGGGAGGAAAGCGAUACCGUGGGUAUCGCGCUCUUGGUUGGGCUCAUGUCCUAUCAGGCUUGUUGGUNAGGUAACGGCUCACCAAGGCUUCGACGGGUAGCUGGUCUGAGAGGAC